UAGACAAGGAGGAAGGGAGGGAGGUGUGUGUGUGGGGGUGGGGGUGGGGGCAGUUUUUUAAUUUUGCAGUCAGCCAGCCCCCUUAUAAUUCUGCUGGUUCCCCCAUCAGAGGGAGCAGAGAAGGGAGAGGGAGUGGCCUCUGUUGAGGUUUGGGUGAGCCAGUGGUGGGCUGUGGCAGCCGGCAGCUGGGCUCUCACUACCUAUGUCCUCCAGCUCCAGCCUGAAUUAUGAAGGCUCGGGAAUGGCAGCCAGCCUAAUUACAAUGACUGAUUGCCCGUCCGUUGGCAUUUCUCAGACGGUGAUUGUCGUGUGUGUAGGAUACGAGGGGAAGGAGGAGGGCCAUUUCUCAUUGGCCUUCCCCUUUCUUUCUUUGCAUGAGAACAGCCAGAGAUUGAGAUCUGAUUGGUUGGAGAGAAAAGAGAUGUUUCAUGAUUUGGCAAGGCAGAAAUGGUGGAACGCCAGAAACAGGUGAUGUUGCACUGAUGGCGCAUUGUAGCCUAUUCAGUCUUUGGCACAAAAGCCAUAAAAAAGAUCAAUGAAUGGGGAGAAAACACAGGGCCUGAAACAGUCAUUGCAGACCCAGGCAUGGGAUCUCCAUCUGUGCACAAAGAAGCCUCCUCUAUCUGCAUACGCUGCACAUAAAAGGGCCUUUUGUCAUGAGCUCUGCACACAUGACCGUCCGCCUUUCACCCCACUGGAAAAAAAGAUCACUCUCUCCAGCAAUCCAACCCCACCCCCAACACCAGACUCAACCCCGUCCCCCCCGACCCCCACCCUGCCAGAUUUUCGUCUGCAGAGAGAGAGAGCAAGAGAGUGAGACAGAUCCACUCUGAACUUUGUCGAAUAGAGACAACCAUCAGAUGGGGCUGCUUCCAUCACUGCUGCAGAGUCCUUUUUUUUCUCAUUUUCAUUUCCCCUUUUUUCGUGUCUGCUUUCUCUUUUUCUCUCUCCUGGUGUCCUUGUGUGCACUCACUGUGAGGCAUCAAUGCAUUAUGGCAUCUGCCAUACUGAAAUAUAAAUGUGCUCUCGUUUUUGCUGUCUCCCUUCCUUUCUGCAGUCUCUGACAUUUAAGGGGCAUUAGUGGUUGGUUUUGUGCCAGGUUAUUGCCCCCCCGUCCAUUACAGAGGCACAGGCUCAGUUGACAGCAGUCAGAGAGCUGAUGCUUCUCUCUCCCUCUCAUUUCAGUGCCUCCUGCCUUUUAACCCAUCGGCCCUAUGCUGUUUAGCAGAGCCAGAGGUAUUUGUAAUGUGUAGAGAUAAUGACAAAAAAUAGUCUGUACAUUUGAGAACCAUAUCAAGAUGAGGCGAGGUAGAAUUCUCCACUGUUGUGAGACAAAUGGGCUGCUUGCCAUUUUGGCUACUAAAGAUGACAGAUAUUGGUGUUGAGGGAUAUUGAGUCAGGGUGGGGACGGAGCAAAGACACAGAGGCAGGCUAAUACACACUGUCAAGUGCACGGGUGCUGCCACAAAAAACGCUUUCCUCAGCAUUUCCUUUGAAACACACACGGCCCUGAUGCCUUGCUCCCAGCCAAACGAGUGUGGAUUUUGGAAAGCCCUCUAGCUCAUCUUGCUGUCGCUGCACCCAGGCCUGUGGCGGAACGGAAGGAUAAGAUUGACUUCUCCCUCCACCGCCAUGUCCUCUGCAUGACCCUCUGCCUCUCUAAGCUGGUGUGAGAGGUCAGAGGCUGUCGUAUCGCAGUUCCAUGUGUGCUGUCCACACCUUUAGCCUGAUGAUGAUGAUGAUGGGCGGACCAGAGAGUGUUACACACCAUAUAGUCAGCACAGUUAAGAAUAAGCAGUGCAUAUAAUUUACACACAGGGACCCUGAAUUACAGAAAGUAAGAAUUUAGUACCAAUAAACUGUAAUGUUGUCCCCAUACUCUGCUUUAUGUGUUUGGAGCCAUAACCAUGAGGAACAGGACUGCUGUUCCCACAACAGUAUUAUAAUAAAAUGAGAAAUAAUGAUUAUAAUAAUAAUGAUAAUAGUAACAAUAAUAAUAAUACAUUUAUUUACAUGCAGUGCAGCUCAGACAGCUUUGCAUGCAAAGCAAAUCCUGGCAAAAGAAAGAUUACUUAAUAUUUAAUAUUACAUAGUUUAAAUUGCAUAUGCAUUACAAAGUAGCCCAGCAUAUCUAGUAUACCCAGUAGGUGCUAAGAGCUGUGCUGUAGAGAAAAACCUCUGUAUCAAACACACCAGUUUUAAACGCACAGGAACAGAGUAAAGAACACCUGUGUUCAGGUUCAGGUUCAGGUUUUACAGAGACAACCAUUUUGUAGAAUGUGUUUGACCUCAGAUCACCAAGCUCUUCGGUGUCUGUACUUGCUCAACGUAAUGCAGAGUUAUACAACAAGUCACUGUAUCUGCAGGAACUACUUUGUUCACUUUGAAGGCACUGGCCAGUUAUUAUGUCAAAAUGCAGAAAACACCUUCUCUGUACUGUACCAUAAAGGGUUAUAUUUACAUCACUGCCUCUUUACAGUAUGUGCUAAAAUGACCAUUUUGAUAUAUGAUACAUGCUCUAAAAUAUGAAUGACACAAAGUUAAAUACAGGGGAGAACCAAUAAAUAUGAUAAAAAUAUAUAUGGGCAAUAUACAUUUUUAGACAUCUACAGUGUUAGCACCAGAUCUGUUUUCUUUGAAAUUUGAACCAUGUCUUAAACACAUAUUAUUAUGCUCCUCUUAAAAAUAAUAUUUUACUGGAAUUGAAAGAGCCACUAAAUGUGCAGAAAUAGCCCGUGGAGUAAUAAAACCUCUGUUUAUGCAGCUGUCCUGUGAAGCACUGCUUUUCUCCCACAUAGAUAAAUAUCCUUCUGCUAAUAACAUUAUGCACAUCAAUUACGGUCUGUCACCUCAAGUGGAAUUUACCUAAUCAGUGUUUUUAUCCUUGUCACUUUCUAAUCAAUAUCAGGACUGUUUCCCCUUUUAAAGGACGGCCACUGAUUUUUUUUUUCUUUCUUUUUUUUUUUUUUUUUUUUUACUGUGCAGAAAGUUAGAGGCAAUUAUCAAGCUCAUUAAAUGGCAUUGCUGAAGUGGGAAUUGGAUGAGUAUCUACAAUAUUUCCCGCCUCACUUGUUGUCUUUGAUCAAAGCUAUUUUGUGACUGAGCUAACUUUACUGUGGUAAUUAAAGGAGAGAAACUGCUGCUGUGAAGUGAUUCAGGGGCUGAAGUGCUCAGUGAUUCUGUGUUGGAGAAGGCACCAGAAGGAGAGCAUGUUUAUGAAAUGGAUAAGGUGUACUAGGUGCAUGUUUUGCUGUUCUCAGCAGAGCAAGGAUGCUAGAGAGAUUGUGUAAGAUAACAAACAGCACGCAUAAAGUGUUUGUCAAGGCAGUGAACUGCUGAGUGCGUAUGGCUCAACUGCUGGACUCCAUGCAGCCCUGUGGCACAGACACAGGCGUUUUGACGUGGCCCCUAAAAUGCCAGUCCUGUGCACUCCUGGCUUAAUGUUGAGGGAGAGUAAAAUGAAAUGACCAUGACUGUUUAAAGUAGGUAUUAGCAGCCCUCAGGGGAAAACUGCAAAGGGAAAGUUCAGGUAUGUACCAGCCCUGCACAGGCUGGUCAAGUGGACAGAAAAGGAGAAUUUUCUUUUUUUAUUAUAACGCGUCAUUGACUUCUGAGAAUUUGUCCCAGUACUUCAGUUAGUGCCUUAGGUAAGUUUACUCACACCACUGUUUACUCAACAACACAUAAUAUCUAUUAUACAAGAUUUUUAUUACAUUGAAAUGUCUCUUAAAAUUACCAUAAUAUCUUGGGUAAUACAAUUAAUAAACAGUCACUUUAUUAAGAGGAGUUUCUUUAAUUAUUAUGAGGAAAAAAUAUAAUUUAUAACAUUAGAUGAUCCUGCACCAUAACUCAUUUCUUUUCAUACAUUAAUAACACACUUUUGCUACAACACUUCUGCUAUAAUACUGAAUAUAAAAACCAAAAAUCUACAGACAUUGAUGGUAGGUUUAAAUCAAUAAGCCGUGUUGUACCAGUGUUUGAUUUUGGUCUUGCAAGAUCACAGGACUAAUAAAAGUAUCUGGGAACAUUUACAUAAUACAUAAUAAUGUUUGAUUAAAAAAAAAAACAAAUCUGUGCUGACCAUAAGUAUUGUCCUUAUUUUUAUAUAAGCAGGCUCAAGGUAUGAAAAUCACUCUGUAUCACCUUAACAUGUUUAAAGUUUGAUGAGCAAAAUGAAAGGAUCAUAGAGCCCAGUUCUCUAUCUCAAACAUAAAGGAAAAAUACAUUAAUUUACUUUUAAUGCAUUGCUAUCAACAUUUUAAUGCCAUCAUUGAUACUGUAGUUAGAUGUGGAUUUCUUGUCUUAGCUGCCCUAGUUCAAUGCUGCCAUACGCAAGCUGCCCUGAUCCAGGACAAUAUGUUUGGCUGUUGAGGGGCUGCCAGAAGUAGUUGUUAGUUACAGUUAGGGCGCGUCCCUCUUUGGAUAGGUUGUCCACUCUGAGGUCUGAUAUCGAAUAGGUCCAUAAUUUCCAGCUUGUUCCCAGGAGAAGCUCUCCUUUGCCCCUUUUCUCCCUGUGUCUCUUUUCUUCUUCUUCUUCUUCUUCUCUCAGAAUCCUGUGAGAAACAGCAAGAGAUGUGGAUCAAAUCAGGAAGAGCUGCUGAAAUUUGGAUCCCGACCGGACAAUUGCCAUCUUUGCUCUGAUAUAUUGGCAGUGAGAUGGGUUUUGACUUCAGCCACAGGCACAAACAAUUUGGCCAACAAGUGAAAUCACGGACAGACAGACUGGCGAUCGCAGCAGCAUUAUUUUCCCUCUUGGGGAUUUUCAGAUGGAGGCUACCUGACAUGCUGCUGAAACUGUGAUGGAGGAAGGAGGCAAUAGGCCAGUGUCGACCCCCCCCCUUCGCUGCGUGUUACAGAGCAGGUGAGAAACAUUAACAGAGGCAGCAGCAGCUGCGGCCCUCUGCUGCGCACAUGUGGGCCAGGAUAUGAGCUAGCUUGAGCUCGCCCACUCUCAACACUGGUCACUAAUGUUAACACUCUCCUCUCUGAAGCACAGGAAACAGUGCGAAGGAAAAAGAGGAAACAUAGUGGAAUCAGCACAGACACAAAACAUACAAAAUAAAACCCAUUUUCUUUUUUACAGUUCACUGUAUGUUGUCAUCAGUAAUGCCUAGCAUUGGAGUAGUGAUUCCCAAAAUCUUUGGCUGGUGACCAAAGCCAUUUCUACUCACAACCUAAUGGCAAAGGUUGAAUAUGGGUUGUACAUGUUAUCUGAUUUAGAAGAAGUUAAAUUAAACAAACUGUGUGUCUUUAAUCACAGUUUGUUUCAUUUAAAUAAUUUUUAGAGGUGUGAAAAGGCAAAACUUUCAAGUAUUUAACAACAAAAAAAGCCAAAAUUAGAGGAAAGUAAAACCAACAAAUAAAUAAAGAAACAAAGAGAAUUUGCAGAAAUAUUAUAUAAUAUCAUUUUAAUCAAUACUUGACUUCUUGUGAGGUCCAAACUCUCAGACUGGGAACCAAUACUGUUGAGUUAUAAAAACAUUAUUUUCCACCAUUUACUGAAUGAAGACCAAAGUAUGGUCUGGGCUUUUUAAAUAACAAUGAAUAGAGCAUUGCAUUUUAAUAGUUAUAAGGUUCAACCAUUUUCAGUAAAAUCCUCAACAUUAAUGUCACAGUAGCCUUUAAGUUAUAUACUGGUUGUAUUUGAAUAUGGAAAAUAUCUUGGCUAUCCAAUUUGUUUGGGACAUAUGCACUUUGUUGGAUCAUUUGAAUUCCCCUUCAGCCCGAGCCAUGAACUGGAUGACCCAGCCGUCACAUUGUGUUCUGAGCACACAGAUUCCAGUCACACCGGUGAGGUGUCCCAGAGGAGAGUGACAAGUGUAUUUGUGUUUCUGUGAAUCAUAACCGCUGUUUUGUAUUCAGUGAGGUGUGCUAAAGCAGAUUACCUGCAUGAACGCGGACCUGAAAGGACUUUGUUUUUAAAGACUGUCCUUUGGGGUGAGGUAGUAGGUUGUAUAGUUUUAGGGUCAUACCCUUCCUGUCAGAUAACUAUACAACUUACUGUCUUUCCUGAAGUGGCUGUAAUGUCUUCAGAUGCCAUUGUUGGAGCUUUUGGAUCUGGAUCAACACUGGAAUGUGCCAUGUUUAUCCACUGACUACUAAGAGCAUAACUCAGCUGUAGCAUCUGACAGUGGUAGGUCACUUAGGAUUACAGUGAUUUUAGGUAGGUUUCCAUCUUGUGAUUUUCAUGGCUGUACAUUAAGACUUUAUGGUCAAUAAAAAACAUUUUUAUCAUAAGUAUUGUUAUGUCUUGCUGGUUCUGCUUGUGCCAAACAACAAUCAACACAUCAUAUCUCAUCAGAAACUGACUAUUGUGUUAGGUUUUACUCAAACCUGUUCUCAUCUAAUUGUCACCCCUUUUCCUUCUACAGCCUUGUACAAUAUUUGUCAAAGCUCUGUGGCUCUUUUCCUCAAACAAUUUGAUUCAGAAUGCUUGUAUUGUUAAUGUUUUCAAAUGUAUGACGAUUUGCUAUAAUACAAUAUAGUGUUUAUAUGUCAAUCUACCAUUAUGCAAGUCACACCAAAGCUUGCCAACCUGUAGGACCUUUUCUGAUGUUCGUACGGGGUGAGGUAGUAGGUUGUGUGGUUUCAGGGUAGUGAUUUUGCCCAAUCAGGAGAUAACUAUACAACCUACUGCCUUCCCUGAAGGGCAGCAAUACUUCACCAUGCAGACAUCAAAAAAUUCCCAGGAUCAAUGCAGCAAACCAGGUCGACUUUCCAGGCCCCGAGUCAUCAAGUCAUCUUUUACCUGGGCCGUAGGCAUCCAUAUCCAGUCAUAGCAGCAGAAGGGACCAGCAGGUAAAGUCUGUUCACUGUGGAAUUUGUGUUUGAUUUAUAUUUUCUGCUGCAAAAAAAUAAAAAUAAAAAUAUGACAAUGAA